rnacentral:rRNA from 1 species
UACGGAGGCCCCAAGCGUUGUUCGGAUUUAUUGGGCGUAAAGGGUGCGUAGGCGGCGUGGUAAGUCUGGUGUGAAAGGCGGGGGCUCAACCCUCGGACUGCAUUGGAUACUGCCGUGCUAGAGGACUGGAGAGGAGAAUGGAAUUCACGGUGGAGCAGUGAAAUGCGUAGAUAUCGUGAGGAAGGCCAGUGGCGAAGGCGAUUCUCUGGACAGUACCUGACGCUGAGGCACGAAGGCUGGGGGAGCGAACAGG